rnacentral:rRNA from 1 species
CGGAUGAGAAGAGCUUGCUCUUCGAUUCAGCGGCGGACGGGUGAGUAAUGCCUAGGAAUCUGCCUGGUAGUGGGGGACAACGUUUCGAAAGGAACGCUAAUACCGCAUACGUCCUACGGGAGAAAGCAGGGGACCUUCGGGCCUUGCGCUAUCAGAUGAGCCUAGGUCGGAUUAGCUAGUUGGUGAGGUAAUGGCUCACCAAGGCGACGAUCCGUAACUGGUCUGAGAGGAUGAUCAGUCACACUGGAACUGAGACACGGUCCAGACUCCUACGGGAGGCAGCAGUGGGGAAUAUUGGACAAUGGGCGAAAGCCUGAUCCAGCCAUGCCGCGUGUGUGAAGAAGGUCUUCGGAUUGUAAAGCACUUUAAGUUGGGAGGAAGGGCAUUAACCUAAUACGUUAGUGUUUUGACGUUACCGACAGAAUAAGCACCGGCUAACUCUGUGCCAGC